CUGGGCCUACGGGGGCCAGCAGUAGGGAAUCUUCCACAAUGGGCGAAAGCCUGAUGGAGCAACGCCGCGUGGGUGAAGAAGGUCUUCGGAUCGUAAAACCCUGUUGUUAGAGAAGAAAGUGCGUGAGAGUAACUGUUCACGUUUCGACGGUAUCUAACCAGAUAGCCACGGCUAACUACGUGCCAGCAGCCGCGGUAAUACGUAGUUGGCAAGCGUUAUCCGGAUUUAUUGGGCGUAAAGGGAACUCUGGCGGUCUUUUAAGUCU
rnacentral:rRNA from 1 species